UUGACGAUGUGUAAUAGAGACAUAAAUAA
rnacentral:piRNA from 1 species